UAUCUCUCCUAUACCAAUAUUUGUUGGAAUAGGGACUUGGGGUCUUCUCGUCGGCAAUAAUAAUUCUAUUAUUAUUACUGGUGAACCCUUUAAAUAUAGCAAGCUCCCAUCUUUUAUCGGAAAUACGCAAACUUGGGGAUGGCGUCGUAGCAAUCACUCUUAUCAGUAUUGUCGAAGCGCCUAUUCAUACCUCUAAUCUGCGGUGCUAAUCCUUUUUCAGUGGGCGAAGCUUGGCGACUGGCAAAGUGCCAUGCUCCCUUUAUUGGAGUACACGAACAA
rnacentral:misc_RNA from 1 species